rnacentral:lncRNA from 1 species
GGGGCGGGGCGGGGCGGGGCAGCAAGGCUCUGCGGGUUGUUUGCCCUGGAGCCCUAAGAACUAAGCCUGGGCCUAGGAACCGCAGGAAGUCUCUAAUUUCAAAACGGGGCGUUUCCGGAAUGAGCAGAAAAUGAGCAGGUACCACGAGCGGGUCCUAAUGGGGUCCCCACUCCUCCGUGGUUCCCACGGGCGGGGUGGAAGCCGCCGGUUCGGUUUCUUUUUAUUCCAUAUAAAGCAGUGUUUCGCUUGACUCAGAACUUCCUUCAGGAAAUGGACCUUCCUUCCCAACACGGACUUCCUAGAAUUCUUCCCUUCUGUUCCACAGGGCGGCCUAUGGACUGUUCCCACCCGGGAAGGGCCCGCCCCGCCCCGCCCCGCCCCGCCCCCCCAGUGCAGCCAGUAAGUCCUUCCCGGUUGCCUGGCGAUAGGAAGCGGACAGACAGAUAGGAACUGUCUGCUCUUGUGGGAGAUGGCUGCAGAGCGCCGUGACCGGUGCCAGCCCGGAAGCCGAACCGCCCUACCGAGCCCUGAGGGCGACCACAGAAACCCGUCCAGACACACUGAACACAGCAAAGCAGGCGCCUUCCCACACACACCUCCCCGGGUCCUCUGCGACCUUUGGUCUCUUGAGUUUUCAAAACUCUGGAAACCUCUACAGCAGUUAGAAAUCAGGAAUGUUUCUGUAAAAGCAGAGCACUCUACUCGUGCGGUAGCGCCUGUCAUCCGGCCAAGGAGGAAGCAAGAGGAGCAGCUGCACCAGUAGAAUUAAACGUGUAGAAUUAAGCGUGUCCCCCUAGUGCUCUGCACAGGAAGAAAGUCCUCCACCUGACCGCAGGCAGCAGGCCGGCCUCCUACAGGAAAAGCAAAGCCCACUGGUGAUGCCCAAUGUCUCUGCAGCACCAUAGGAGGAGGCCCGAGGCUGCCGUGUCACCUGAGAGAGAGUGUGGGGUCAGCCAGGCCUACAUCUGAGACCAUGUCUAGAGACAAGGGAGGAGCUCCCUCCAAGCCUUGGACUCCAGCUGGUGACACUACUUUAGAAACCUUAAGAGGGAAGCCUAAUCAAAGGCAUACAGGAAACUGAAAAGAAAAGGAAGCUGCCUCCUCCCUCACCCUGUCAUCCCCCAGCUGGGCAAACUGCAUCUCUCCCAUGUGACUCAGCUCUCUCCAUCUACAGUGUCAUUCCACCCAAACCAAAUAAAACAGUGGAGGACUGACUGGAUUCUCAUGUCAAUAUUUGUUUCUGAUUCUGAAAUUCUACAGUAGUAAUAUUUUCCGUGUUACCCAGCCACCUGGGUAGGUUUUAAUUAUAGUGCCUGGGCUGCAGAGGAGCUCAGCAUUCACUGGCUGCUCUUGGAGAAGACCUGCUUUGAUUCCCAGCACUCAAAAGGCAUCUCAGAAGUGUUUGCAAGUGCACCCCAGAGGAUCCAAUAUCCUCAAUAGAACAUGAACAAAAUUUCAAGGAUUUUCUUCCUUCCUUCCUUCCUUCCUU